GUUUCAAAGAAGGUUCGAAAAAUACCGAUCGUGUUUUCUGAUACAUGGACUCUUCAUUUGCCAUGGGUCCUCCUCCUUUGGAGCUUCUAGAGCUUGUAGCCUCGGGAGCAGAGCCUGGAAAACUCCUUGGCCAGAUGUUCUAAAGAAAAGCAACUCCUGUAAAUUUGAGAGGGCCAACAUCCACUCUGUGAGCCACUCUUUCCUGCCCCCCACCAAACACACAAGAAAGUGAGGCCCACUACUUCACAGAACCGACAGGAAUGCUUCCUUUUGCCAUGUUCGUUGAGGAUGUGGGUGAAGUGAAGUGGCACCAAGCAAAGGAGUUCCUAAAAUUUUAAGAAGAUGUGAGGGUAUGGGCGGCUUUCCAUUUAUCCAGAAGUCCAACAUAGGUCACUUGAAAACGCCAAAAGAAGGCCAAACGUGUUGUGAAUCUGGAAGAUGAGUUAACUAGCAUCAUGGAAGACCCAAAGACCUCAGCUUCUCAGGCUGGUG
ensembl:lncRNA